rnacentral:rRNA from 1 species
UACGAAGGGUGCAAGCGUUACUCGAAAUCACUGGGCGUAAAGCGUGCGUAGGCGGUUCGUUAAGUCUGCUGUGAAAGCCCUGGGCUCAACCUGGGAACUGCAGUGGAUACUGGCGGACUAGAGUGUGAUAGAGGAUGGUGGAAUUCCCGGUGUAGCGGUGAAAUGCGUAGAGAUCGGGAGGAACACCAGUGGCGAAGGCGGCCUCUGGAUCAACACUGACGCUGAGGCACGAAA